GUAGUCGUGGCCGAAUGGUUAGGGCGAUGGACUAGAAAUCCAUUGGGAUCUCUCCGCGUAGGCUCGAAUCCUACCGACUACA